ACACUUUGACAAUUUCAGAGGCUGAAGAGCCAGCCUGCCUCUCUCUCUUCCCACGGUUCUCUUCAACAAACCCGACCCCGACAAACCAAAACAAAAACCAACUUUACCUCAGAUCCCUUCCCAUCCUCUCUCUCUCAAUCGCAUUCACUUUCCUUCAACAACAACGAGACUAGGGUUUCAUUGUUAGGCCUCCGAUGUCCCUUCCAGAUCCCCAUUCACUCUGCUGAAUUCGAAAUCCCCAAUUUCCUGUACCAUUCACUCUCGAGCAUGGCUUCCACGAUUGGCUCUCCAAGCAGUUCAUCCUCGUCGAGGCUGCCAUCGUCAUCGUCACCAGUGGAUGCUGCUAUUGGCGGCAUCAUGGGUACUUUUACCGGCGACAUUUCCUCCUCUCUCCCCACUCCUCUCGUCGUCUCCUUUAUUGUUUUGAUUUGGAUUUGUCAGCUUUCGCUCUUCUUUACUGUUUCAAUUCACUGAGAUGCAAAAUUUAGGGUUCUGAUAUUCAUAAGCAGAUCUUAAAAUUGUGCACUCUACUCACCGGAGUUUAACAAAGACUCGGAUCUCCAUCUCCGACCAAGGAUUCCUAGCCUUUCGAGAGAAAAGAGCAAGGUUCCUAGCCUUUCGAGAGACAACGGUGACAUUGCUGAUUUGCUGCCUUGCUGUCAAAGGCGCCGGCUCUUCACUCUUGGUUUGCUCGCUUUGACUCUUCUUCAAGCUGUCAAGCAAUAAAGCAGAAGACUUGGUUCAAUUUCUGGGUUCUUCAAGCUCAGUGAGUCUCUGAAUCUCUUGUUAAGUUGCUGGGCUUUGGUGUUUCUGAUUCUUGGAGCUAUUUGGCUGUUUUGACUAGUAUAUAGAACCGUUGAUUAGUAUAUAGAACCAUUGUUUAAAAAUCAUAUCUAUUGCUAACAUUGUAUUUCAGAUUUUCAAUUGGUCUUGGUUUUCGAUUAUUGUGUGGAUCAAGUUUAGUUCAAUAUGUCUUUUCUGUUUUAUGUGUAUUUUGGAAUUUUUUGCUCUUAAUUGAUUUCUCCUAUAGACAUUUUAUUGUUUUUUUUAGUUUGCUCAAUGCCUUGGUUCAUGUCCAGAUUCUAGGAAAUAAAUUGAUGGUUUGAUAUGAUUUUUGUUGUCUCAGACACAGAGAAGUUCUAUACUGAAGUCCAGGAAAUUAUACUUGCUAGGUACAAUAAAACUUUUGAUUGGGCUUUGAAAGCAAAAAUGAUGGAAAGAAAGCAAUAGAAGCUGCUUGGGUCUUUGUUGAAGACACUGGACUUAGUGACUCUCUUACUGGCUACUUCUGAGGACUUUCUGGUUGAAAGAGAGGCAAUGUUGCAGAAAUUGUUUCCAACAAGCGAGCUGAUGCCAGGUGUGGGAUGCAACUGCAGCUGAUCCUAAAUUGCUGGUCUUUUUGAAAUCGUACAGGAAUUUCUUACACAUUGAAUCUGGUAAUUAGAUCUACCUAGCAUAACGUACUUCCUUUUUUCUAUUACUUUGUUUGGCAUACCCCUUUUGCUCAUACUAAUUUGAUGGUGUGAGUAUGUUCUCUAUGAAUAUAGGUUGGUUUCUUUAUUGUCAGUUACUCAAGUUUGAUUUCAACAACAAUGUCGACUAGUAUGAACUAUAAACAAGUUAGAACUUUGGUUAUGGGGGAUCAUGUAUUGGAGUGAUAAUUAUUUAUCACUUGGCUGUUUGAGAUUGGAUGGUAUAUCACUAGCUAUUAAUGUAAUGUGACAUGUGCACUCUGCAUAUGAUAGUUGUGCACUCUGCAUGGU